rnacentral:rRNA from 1 species
CCUACGGGAGGCAGCAGUGGGGAAUAUUGGGCAAUGGGCGCAAGCCUGACCCAGCAACGCCGCGUGAAGGAAGAAGGCGUUCGGGUUGGAAACGUCUUAUAAGAGGGAAGAGCAGAAGACGGUACCGCUGGAAUAAGCCACGGCUACCUACGUGCCAGCAGCCGCGGUAAUACGUAGGUGGCAAGCGUUGUCCGGAUUUACUGGGUGUAAAGGGCGUGCAGCCGGGAAGACAAGUCAGAUGUGAAAUCCCGCGGCUCAACCGCGGAACGGCAUUUGAAACUGUUUUUCUUGCGUACCGGAGAGGUCCUCGGACUUCCUUGUGUAGCGGUGCAAUGCGUAGAUCUCCGG